AUUGAACGCUGGCGGCAUGCUUUACACAUGCAAGUCGAACGGUAACGCGGGGCAACCUGGCGACGAGUGGCGAACGGGUGAGUAAUGCAUCGGAACGUGCCCGGUAGUGGGGGAUAACUGCUCGAAAGAGCAGCUAAUACCGCAUACGACCUGAGGGUGAAAGGGGGGGAUCGCAAGACCUCUCGCUAUUGGAGCGGCCGAUGUCGGAUUAGCUAGUUGGUGGGGUAAGGGCCCACCAAGGCGACGAUCCGUAGCUGGUCUGAGAGGACGACCAGCCACACUGGGACUGAGACACGGCCCAGACUCCUACGGGAGGCAGCAGUGGGGAAUUUUGGACAAUGGACGCAAGUCUGAUCCAGCCAUGCCGCGUGCGGGAAGAAGGCCUUCGGGUUGUAAACCGCUUUUGUCAGAGAAGAAAUCUUCUGGGUUAAUACCUCGGGAGGAUGACGGUAUCUGAAGAAUAAGCACCGGCUAACUACGUGCCAGCAGCCGCCGUAA
rnacentral:rRNA from 1 species